rnacentral:rRNA from 1 species
GUGCACGCUGGCGGUAGGCCUAACACAUGCAAGUCGAACGGCAGCACAGUAAGAGCUUGCUCUUACGGGUGGCGAGUGGCGGACGGGUGAGGAAUACAUCGGAAUCUACUUUUUCGUGGGGGAUAACGUAGGGAAACUUACGCUAAUACCGCAUACGACCUACGGGUGAAAGCGGGGGAUCUUCGGACCUUGCGCGAUUGAAUGAGCCGAUGUCGGAUUAGCUAGUUGGCGGGGUAAAGGCCCACCAAGGCGACGAUCCGUAGCUGGUCUGAGAGGAUGAUCAGCCACACUGGAACUGAGACACGGUCCAGACUCCUACGGGAGGCAGCAGUGGGGAAUAUUGGACAAUGGGCGCAAGCCUGAUCCAGCCAUACCGCGUGGGUGAAGAAGGCCUUCGGGUUGUAAAGCCCUUUUGUUGGGAAAGAAAAGCAGCAGGUUAAUACCCCGCUGUUCUGACGGUACCCAAAGAAUAAGCACCGGCUAACUUCGUG